rnacentral:rRNA from 1 species
ACAGAAGGAAGGCACCGGGCUAACUCCGUGCCAGCAGCCGCGGUAAUACGGAGGGGUGCGGAGCGUUAAUCGGAAUUACUGGGCGUAAAGCGCAUGCAGGUGGUGUGUUAAGUCAGAUGUGAAAGCCCGGGGCUCAACCUCGGAAUAGCAUUUGAAACUGGCAGACUAGAGUACUGUAGAGGGGGGUAGAAUUUCAGGUGUAGCGGUGAAAUGCGUAGAGAUCUGAAGGAAUACCGGUGGCGAAGGCGGCCCCCUGGACAGAUACUGACACUCAGAUGCGAAAGCGUGGGGAGCAAACAGGAUUAGAUACCCUGGUAGUCCACGCCGUAAACGAUGUCUACUUGGAGGUUGUGGCCUUGAGCCGUGGCUUUCGGAGCUAACGCGUUAAGUAGACCGCCUGGGGAGUACGGUCGCAAGAUUAAAACUCAAAUGAAUUGACGGGGGCCCGCACAAGCGGUGGAGCAUGUGGUUUAAUUCGAUGCAACGCGAAGAACCUUACCUACUCUUGACAUCCAGAGAACUUUCCAGAGAUGGAUUGGUGCCUUCGGGAACUCUGAGACAGGUGCUGCAUGGCUGUCGUCAGCUCGUGUUGUGAAAUGUUGGGUUAAGUCCCGCAACGAGCGCAACCCUUAUCCUUGUUUGCCAGCGAGUAAUGUCGGGAACUCCAGGGAGACUGCCGGUGAUAAACCGGAGGAAGGUGGGGACGACGUCAAGUCAUCAUGGCCCUUACGAGUAGGGCUACACACGUGCUACAAUGGCGCAUACAGAGGGCGGCCAACUUGCGAAAGUGAGCGAAUCCCAAAAAGUGCGUCGUAGUCCGGAUUGGAGUCUGCAACUCGACUCCAUGAAGUCGGAAUCGCUAGUAAUCGUGGAUCAGAAUGCCACGGUGAAUACGUUCCCGGGCCUUGUACACACCGCCCGUCACACCAUGGGAGUGGGCUGCAAAAGAAGUAGGUAGUUUAACCUUCGGGAGGACGCUCACCACUUGUGUUCAGGCGGG